GUGACCCUGCUGGAGUGCGGGGGGGACCUCCAGCCCCCCGGGGGGUCCCUGACUCUGCUCUGCCGCGCCUCCGGGUUUGAUUUUGGGAGUCACACCAUGCACUGGAUCCGCCAGCAGCCUGGGAAGGCGCUGGAAUAUGUUGCAGGCAUUGACAAUGAUGGAGAGACCCGGUACCCACCAUCCUUCAAGGGUCGGUUCACGAUCUCCAGGGACGACGGGCAGAGCUCGGUGACGCUGACCAUGAACAACCUCAAGGACGAGGAUUCCGCCGUUUAUUUCUGCGCCAAAAAUGCUGGAGCUUAUGUUACUGCUUCUGGUGAACGUGUUGAUGGAUUGGACCCCAUCCCCACCGGCCCCCAAAUGUCCCCAGACCCUUUCCCCAAACGCCAACCCUCGACCUGA